rnacentral:antisense_RNA from 1 species
GGGACCCCUCUUCUAUAAGGGACAUACACGAGAUCACCGAAAAUUCCCCCUUUCUCCCAUUGUUCCUAUGAGUUUGUGAAUGCUCUCUGGAGCCCCAAAAGAUAAAAGAAUAAGUAACCAUGACAGUCAUUUGUAACAAUCGUCUCUUUCCCAACACACUACCUGCAAGCCGACCCAAACCGCCUCGUCUCAGUGCCUUCCCGGUCACGCCCUCCCUUCUCCUGAAGGGGGCGGAAUCUCUAAUCCACCCAAGACCCGGUUCUCCGAUUCCCAUCCUCAAGACCGGGGAGAAAAGAGGAGUAAAUUUUCCUAUUAUAGCCUUCUCUCGCACCUUCCCCGCUUCCCCCCAGCCGCCUCCACUGUCCUCACCGUCCCCAUCCUCAUCCAUGGCGAAAUCUUCGCCCCCAGCCUCGUGAAGAUCUAGCACGUCCGCCAUCUCGCCUUCGAUCGAGAUCUCGUCUGUGCCGCUCAGACACUAGAUGCUGUUGACUGGGGCAAAGAAUAAUGGGAGAAAAACAGCUGAGUCCUAAAUAACAGAGGGAAACCAACUUUCAAUAAAGUAUUCAACAAC